UACGGGGGGGGCAAGCGUUGUUCGGAAUUACUGGGCGUAAAGGGCGUGUAGGCGGCCAACUAAGUCCGACGUGAAAUCCCCAGGCUUAACCUGGGAACUGCGUCGGAUACUGGAUGGCUUGAAUCCGGGAGGGGGAUGCAGAAUUCCAGGUGUAGCGGUGAAAUGCGUAGAUAUCUGGAGGAAUACCGGUGGCGAAGGCGGCAUCCUGGACCGGCAUUGACGCUGAAGCGCGAAAGCUAGGGGAGCAAACGGG
rnacentral:rRNA from 1 species